UUGUACUACCUGCCCGUCACACCAUGGGAGUGGGUUGCACCAGAAGUAGCUAGUCUAACCUUCGGGAGGACGGUUACCACGGUGUGAUUCAUGACUGGGGUGAAGUCGUAACAAGGUAGCCGUAGGGAACCUGCGGCUGGAUCACCUCCUUAAUC
rnacentral:rRNA from 1 species